rnacentral:tRNA from 1 species
GAAAUAGGACUAUCUAAGAGAAGCUUCUAACUUCAUAUUAAAGCAGUGAAAAUCUGUUUAUGUUUCA